rnacentral:rRNA from 1 species
CUGUCUCUAUAUAAUUAUUGAUUUAAUUUAAUUUUUAAGUUAAAAAGCUUAAAUGUUUUUAAAGGACGAGAAGACCCUAUAGAGUUUUACAAUUUUAAUUAUAAUUAUUUUUAUUUUAUAUAAUUAUAAUUAAAAUUGUUUUGUUGGGGCGAUAAUAAAAUUUAUUAAACUUUUAUAUUUAUUAAACAUUAAUUUAUGAAUUUUUGAUCCUAUAAUUUAGAUUAAUAGAAUAAAUUACCUUAGGGA